GGUCUAUAAGGGAGAAUUCCAACUACCUGACUUUCUUAAAGAAAAACCACAGACUGAGCAAGUGGAGUAGCAGAACCAGGAGCCUCUUCCAUACAUGAGGAAUCAUGAUGGCUGCAGCUUAACCAGAAAACCUUUGUAGCAUGAGAGUAUUAAUAAUAAUGUAUAUUUUCCUAAGAAAGAAUCAAAUCAAUUUUUGGAAGAGGGGUGGAUUGCAAAACUUUAUUAAUAAAGACUUCUGUUCCAAAGGU
rnacentral:sRNA from 1 species